rnacentral:rRNA from 1 species
UACAGAGGUGCCGAGCGUUAGGCGGAAUCACUGGGCUUAAAGCGUGUGUAGGCGGACUUCUAAGUACCUUGUGAAAUCCCACGGCUCACCCGUGGAACUGCUGGGUAUACUGGUCGUCUUGAGCCACCUAGGGGCGAGCGGAACAAAUGGUGGAGCGGUGAAAUGCGUAGAUAUCAUUUGGAACGCCAACGGUGAAAACAGCUCGCUGGGGGUGUGCUGACGCUGAGACACGAAAGCCAGGGGAG